CCCGGCCGAUCGAAAGGGAGUCGGGUUCAGAUCCCCGAACCCGGAGUGGCGGAGACGGGCGCCGCGAGGCGCCCAGUGCGGUGACGCAAACGAACCCGGAGAAGCCGGCGGGAGCCCCGGGAAGAGUUCUCUUUUCUUUGUGAAGGGCAGGGCGCCCUGGAAUGGGUUCGCCCCGAGAGAGGGGCCCGCGCCCUGGAAAGCGCCGCGGUUCCGGCGGCGUCCGGUGAGCUCUCGUCGGCCCUUGAAAAUCCGGGGGAGAAGGUGUAAGUCUCGCGCCGGGCCGUACCCAUAUCCGCAGCAGGUCUCCAAGGUGAACAGCCUCUGGCGUGUUGGAACAAGGCAGUUAAGGGAAACUAGGCUGUUCGUGGAAAUUUUUCUAUUCAAAUAAGU
rnacentral:ncRNA from 1 species